GUGCUCGGUUUGGCAGCACAUAUACUAAAACUGGAAUGAUACAGAGAAGAUUAGCAUGGACCCUGCACAAGGAUGACACGCAAAUUUGUGAAAAUUAUUUUCUUCUC
ensembl:snRNA U6 U6 spliceosomal RNA